GGUGACAUAGCUCAAUGGUAAAGCACUUGCCUCAUAUACAAGGUUCUGUGUUCAAUCCCCAGUGUACUA
rnacentral:tRNA from 1 species